GAAAUCCUUAUUGGAAUUGAUUUCUUUCUGCACCCAACUUGGCCUAACUUCAAAGCUUAUAAAAAUAACCUUUCGAAAGAAAAAAAAAAGAGCGAAAGAAAACAGCAAAUUGAAAGCUAAGAGUCGAACUGCAAAGUCAUUGAAGUUGAGAAGAUUUUGAAGGAUUCAAGAAGACUUGGAAGAUCAAGAUUAUAAUUCUUGAGUUUAUUCUUUUUUAUUAUUCUUUUAUUUUCUUAGUUUGUUUUUGUUAUUUAAACUUUAUUCAAUGAUAAUGUGUGACUUGAUGGGGAACUAAAUUGUUAAUCUAAUAUUAUGAUUGAACUCAUUAUGUAGUCUGAAUUAUUUAUCUCUCUUUUGAUUAUGUUUGAUAGAUUUAGGUUGUUUAUUUUAUUCUGUUCUUAAUGCUUCUAAUUACCUGAUCACCAAUUAGAUUGAAUUGGAAACCUAGGUUAAACCUUGACGAAAGAGAUUUAGGUAGACUUUGAAUAGAAUAGCGUAUGAUCGAAUGCACUUAGUUGAUUAGGAGGUUUGAUUUGCAUAUAGGGUAGACAUACACUUAUAAGCCACACAUAGCCAGGAUUAGAG
rnacentral:lncRNA from 1 species